GACUGGGAAGUGAUGAGCGAAGAGGGUCUUGUGGAGAAUUUCAAAGAGAUCGGGAAUCUCUGGGAUCAGGUGAAGUUUUUGUCCCUUUUUUGCUUUUCGCUUUCUGUAUUGUUUGUUCCUUCUUCCUCUGCGUUUAUUUUCUGACUUGUUCUAAAAUCUUGCCUUUUCAGCUCGGUGGCCGCCUGGCCGGGUUCAAUACUAAUGCUUUGAACCAAUUGAAGAAAGAGAGGGAGUUUUCCGCGUCCACUCUGGCCGAGGUCGCAAAGUUGGAGAAGAGUCGGGAUACGGAGAGGUCGGCCAGGGAAGUGUUGGAGUCGAGCGUGGCGACCAGGAUCAAGGAGGCUGAGGCCCGUAAGGAGGCUGAACUUGGGCAGAGGGCUAAGGAUGCCGAGACCCGGGC
rnacentral:lncRNA from 1 species